rnacentral:tRNA from 2 species
GGGCCCUUAGCUCAGCCGGUAGAGCAGCGGACUCAUAAUCCGUAGGUCGCAGGUUCGAGCCCUGCAGGGCCCA